GACUCUGUCUCCAAAAAUAAAAAAAAAAUAAAAAAUAAAAAAAAAGAAGUAGGAGGAGUGAAGGCUGGGUGUCCUGCCAGGCCAUGGUGGAUCACUCAGCAGAGGACGGCACCUGGGGAGAAGUGGGUUCAGCUCUGGGUGUGUGGGUUGAGAUGGUUUUUCUGUCUCCCUUUGUGCUGGCUGCCCCCCAGUCCCCCCAGUGCAGUACAUGUUUCUGUUGGUCAAGUUGGUGCCAGGCCCAGUCCUCAGCCAGGGGCGUGAAGACCAAGGGCACAGAGCUUUGUCCUCCAGGAGUUUGUGGUCAAGGAGAACGUGGGCACAGGACACAGUGGCCGUGUAGCGUGGCCAGCAUGGAGGAGGGACAGGGACCAUGUGGAUGGGGUGGGGGAGAAGUGCUGUGGGCAGAGGAGGCUUGCAGGGAAGGGACAUUUGACCUGGAACAAGGAUCAAAUGCCCUUUUCCUUUCAGUAAAGGAGGAGAAGACCCACCAGGCAGAAGAGACAGGGAGAGGACACUGGGGUGUCUUGGGGCUGCCAGCACAAAGUUCCAUGAGCUGGAGGGCUCAGAACAACAGAAACGUCUUCUCUCACAGUUUGGAGAGAAAUAACAAGGUCUACGGGAAUUAUGAGGCAGGCACGGUGGAGGAAAACCAAUUGAUAAAUAUCAUCAUCUCACAAGGGUCUUUGCAGAUGAUCAAGUGAAGAUGAAGUCACCAGAGUGGGCUGUAAUCCAAGAUGACCGUGUCCUUGUAAUACCCCUGUGUACUGGGGAUUAGGAUUUCAGCAGGAGGCCAGAAAUCCAAAUCAAGGUGUAGGCUAGGUUCAUUUCCAUUUGGAGGCUGCACGGGCAAAUCUGUUCCCUGCAUCUCUCCAGGCUCCUGGGGUUUGCCAGCAAAUCUUCCAUGUUCCUCGGCCUGUAGAAGCAUUGCCCCGUCUCUGCCUCCGUCUCUACUAGGCCCUGUGUGUGUGUGUGUGUGUGUGUGUGUGUGUGUGUGUGUGUGUGUGUGUGUGUGUGUGAGUCUAGACUUUACAGGGACACAGUCAUGUUGGAUUAGAGCCCAUCCUGGUGAUUCAUCUUCACCUCAUCAUCUGCAAAGACCCUGUGAGAUGAUGAUAUUUAUGCAUUGGUUUUCCUCCACCAUGCCUGGCUCAUAAUUCCCAUCACCCUUGUUAUUUCCUCAGUGACUAUAGCAAUAAGCAGAUCUUUUGUUACAAUAUUUGUUCUUUUUUCCUUGGUUCCUGAAGCAGUGUGGAAACAGCUUCAGAGCAAUAAAGGGGAACGAUAGUCCUGUGUUAUCAUGUUGGAUCUUUGGAAGCAGGCUUCAGAUGGACCAUGCUGGAAUUGAACUGGACUGGGGGACACCCAGCUGGCGCCGCUGCAGAACUGAGUGCCGACUUGCUGGCGGGGAGAAAUCCUCAGCCCGUUCAUCACAGGAGUCACAGGAGUGUUGACACUUGUGGUGUGAGAGAAGAGGAAAGGCAGUUUGAUUUUUCCAUACAACCCUACCUCCAAAUAAUGUCCCAGUCACAGUACUGGGGAUUAGGAUUUCAGCAUCUUUUGGGAGUGCUAUGUAUUGGAUAUUUGACUCCAAAUAUCUAAACCCCAUAUUGAAAUUCAAUCCCGUGUUGGGAGUCGGGCCUGAUGGGGGGUGUGUGGGUCCUGGGGAGGAUCCCUCAUGGUUUUGUGCCAUCCUCAUAGUAAUGAGUGAGUUUGCACUCUGUUAGCUCCCUUGAGAGCUGGCCGUCCCCCGCACUUUCUUGCUUCCUCUCUUGCCCUGUAAUCUCUGUGCAUGUGGCUCCAUUGCUCCUUUUGCCAGGAGAAGCAGCCUGCGGCCCUCACCCGUGCAGAUGCUGUGCCAUGCUGCUUGUGCAGCCUGCAGAGCCGUGAGCGACAAAACCUCUUUUCUUUAUUAAUUACCAGCUUCAGCCGGGCACGGUGGCUCAUGCCUGCAAUCCCAGCACUUUGAGAGGCCGAGGCCAGCAGUCCACCUGAUGUCAGCAGUUUGAGGCUAGACUGGCCAACAUGGUGAAACCCUGUCUCUACUAAAAAUACAAAAAUUAUCUGGGUGUCAUGAUGCAUGCCUGUAAUCCCAGCUACUCGGGAGGCUGAGGCAGGAGAAUCACCUGAACCCGGCAGGCGGAGGUUGCAGUUAGCCAAGAUCAUGCCAUUGCACUCCAGCCUGGGCAACAGAGAAAGACUCCAUCUCAAAAAUAAAAAAAUAAAAAUAGGCCAGGCGUGGUGGCUCACGCCUGUAAUCCCAGCACUUUGGGAGGCCGAGGCGGGCAGAUCACCUGAGGUCACAAGUUCGAGACCAGCCUGGCCAACAUGGUGGAACCCUGUCUCUACUAAAAAUACAAAAAUUAGCCAGGUAUGGUGGCAGGCGCCUAUAAUCCCAGCUACUGGGGAGGCUGAGGCAGGAGAAUCGCUUGAACCUGGAGGUGGAGGUUGCAGUGAGCCAAGAUCAUGCCAUUGCACUCCAGCCUGGGGGACAAGAGCGAGACUUUGUCUCUAAAUAAAUAAAUAAUAAAAAUAAAAAAUUAACCAGC